UGGAACUCAGGCUGGCUGCAGCAUGCCCUGUUCAGGUCCUUGGAGGUCAUGGGACCUCCAGCUAUCUGGGUGUUGCUGGCUGGUGGGCUGUGGGCACUGGAUGAAGAGACUUCUGACACCCCCUGUGCCUUCCCCUUUGCCUACGGGAACAACAUACACUACAGCUGCAUCUCCACUCACAGUGACUAUGCCUGGUGCUCCCUGGACAGCAACUUCCAAGGCAGGUGGCGCUACUGCACAGCCCAAGAUCCCCCAAAGUGUGCUUUUCCUUUCACCUUCAAAAAAAGAACUUUUCAAGAGUGCACCAAGUAUGGCUAUGUCCUCAGCCGGAGCUGGUGCUCGCUGACUCAUGACUACAACAAAGACAGAAAAUGGAAGCCGUGCUCUCCUCAACAUACUUAGAUAAUCCCCGUGGUUUUGAAGCAUCAGAAGCUGUGGAUUCCUCAGCUGCCUCUCCAAAUAUCACCCUACCGCCAGGCACCAGUAGCUCAGGCCCAUCUUCGCAGCUACUAAGGAGGAUCCAUGUCUCUCCUGAUGAUGUCCUUGCUCUAUCUUUAGAGCACAUGAAUCAAUGAUUCUGGGGCCAGCAG